UACGUAGGGGGCAAGCGUUGUCCGGAUUUAUUGGGCGUAAAGAGCGUGUAGGCGGCCAGACAGGUCCGUUGUGAAAACUAGAGGCUUAACCUCUAGACGUCGAUGGAAACCGUUUGGCUAGAGUCCGGAAGAGGAGAAUGGAAUUCCAGGUGUAGCGGUGAAAUGCGUAGAUAUCUGGAGGAACACCGGUGGCGAAGGCGACAUCCUGGACCGGUAUUGACGCUGAGGCGCGAAAGCCAGGGGAGCAAACGGG
rnacentral:rRNA from 1 species